CUCUUCUUCAGAAGUUAGCUGGAGGAAAACACCUUAGAAAAACUCAACCAUUUGGUGCAAUUUUUUUUUUGUUUCCAAAGAAAUGUGCGCUUUCCUUCUCUGGGAAAAUGUAGCCAUUGCUCUUCUUUAGACUAGGCGUUUCUAAUUUGUUCCGUCUGUCAAAAUGGGACUAUGAGAGGUUUUGGUGUAAAUUCAUUAUCUCUGCCAACGCAUAACAUAUAGUAGGAACGAGAAAAGACCGUGGCAAUGGAUGAACAAAAGGGCUUCAGUUCAUCAGCAACAAAAGCGUUGGGAAAAUUGGUUGAAUUUCAGAGCACGUCCUCCUCAGCAGAGAGGGCUGGACUAGACCUUGGCCAACCCCCCCCCCCCAAAAACUUGCAGAGCCUCACAUACAACACUUCACUUUCUACUCUGGGGCUUAGGAAGCAAUAUGGAAAAAGGAAAAAAAAAACAACAACCCACACCCUUUUGCCUUCCCCUCCCCCCCUUUUUUUUAAUGGAAGCUUUUUAACUAUUUUAGAACCAAUCGUGCAAGAAUUACACCAUGGAACUAAGCAGCACUUUUAAAUAGAGAUGACGAGGGGAAAGAUCUGAAUUUCUGGAGAUAUGAAAGAACCUGCUUUCUGUGCUUUAAAGGGGUCUUGACCGUGGUGGGAAUCUUUGUUUUCUACUGGAGAUUCACCUAACCAUUUAGAUGUGGGGUCAAAUCUUUAUAAAAUAAAGAACAAAUAUUUAAUCAAUGCAGGAAGACCACAGGAAAUAACAAUCACGACAAGAAACGACCGGGGGCAGCAGCAAGCCAGCAAGACCGCAUCUUCUUCCCAGUUCUAGGAGCCCUGAGAAAGCGAGGAUCUUCCCCCCCUAAAACGUACAUACAUGCAAGAUAUUUGCAAUCAAACUGCCACCAUUUGGUAAAAAUCUCUAUACCAUGCAUAAUCUAAAAGGAUCAGGAGCUGGAUCCUCGAAUCAUCUUGUCACUUUCUACUGAAAUGGGAUUUUUUUUUUUUUUCCUCCUUACACUGCGCUGGAAAUUGCCGAUGGCUUUACAUCUUUAUAGAGUCUAAAGAGUCUUUCGUGAGACUGAAGGAUUUACAAUGCAAAUAGAGGCUUGUGAAGGGAUGGAUGCUUUUCAGUCUUAUCACAGCUUGAUGCACCUUAAUAGCUGGGUUUAUUUUCUGAUAUUAACAGAUGAAUUGUUGGCUAUCGCUGCCGGAAAUUACUGGCUGAAAGAAAAAGUUCGGAAUAAACUUUGAAGGCAACAGAUCUCUUUUGGAUGUUAUUAGCUGCGCGCGCACACACAUAUCAGGUCACAAUUGCAUAAAAGGAUGACUA